rnacentral:lncRNA from 1 species
GAGGGGCCAGGAUGCUGCAGGGUUCCACCUGUGCCUGUCUCGGUGUCCAAGUGCUUCGGACCAGGCUGGGUCCUCACCGGCCUUAACUGAAGCGAGAAGCCAUCUUCAAAGAAGAAAGCAGUGUGUGGUACCAGCAGAGGCAGCUGCACCCCCGGCCCUGGGGCUCAGCCUCGUUUGCAGCCCUGCUUAGCUUUGGCCUCGGGCCUCUCCUCACCCUUCUCGGUCCACCCGGUUCUUCAACCCAGGGCCUGCGGAGAGGUCUGUCCUCCUCCACCACCCGCCCUGCUGUCUGUGACUCUUAGUUCCCCUUGCUGGGAGGAGGCAGGGAGGAAGCCAGCAUUUACUCAGGGACUGCUGGGUGUCAAAGACUUUAUAAGUGUUUGUUUGUUCUGGUUUGGUUUUGGGGGGUACAAGGGAUUGAACUCAGGGCCUUUGCACUGAGCUACAUCCCCAACCCUUUUUAAAUUUUGGGGCAAGGUCUCUGAGUCAUUAAGUUGCCCUGGCUGGGCUCAAACUUGUAAUCUCUCUGCCUCAGCCUCCCAGGAUGCUGGGAUCACAGGUGUUGCCACCACGCGUGUACUUACUCUUUUAUUUAUUUCCUACUAUUCUUAGGAGAAAGAUGCUGCCUCCAUUUUACAGAUGAGGGAAUGGAGUCUCAGCAGGAUCGGGGGUCUCACCGAGAGCCCGCAGCUAGCAGGCGGGGCGGGACUUGGCCUCGCCACUGCACAGCUGCGUUGGCGUCUGUCCUCCGACGUCAUUUCCCAAGCUGCCCUCUGCUGCUGCCCACGCCCCUUCCCCGUCACCUGUAUACCCAGCCCUGGUGUGACCUGGGUGUGGGCUCGUUCUCCUGGGGUCCCUGCAGCCUCGUGCUCGUGGUGCCCUGUGUCCUUUGAUCGGUCUCUUCCUCAGUGGGCGCCUCGGGUUUGGGGGCUGAGCUGGAUGCAAACACCCAGGAGCCUCAGCUGUGCAGCCCCAGGCUGGAAACACGGAGGCCCUUCAGCAGCGGGAUGGUAUUAGCAAACCGUAGAUUUGGUUACCGAUCUAUCACUGGGCA